rnacentral:lncRNA from 1 species
AGGAACACCAGGCCAGUUUGAAAGAACAUCACAGGGGAAAUGGAAAACAGUUUGAUGUUUUUCUGAAUUCAUGGAGUUAUCACUGACCUUCUGUCUUCUUAAAAUCUCUACAGAGACUGUGGGUCACUGACCCUCAUGAAUACUCACACCACUCAGGACUUUGGGAUUUGGAGAAAGGCGGCUGUGCCAGGUCAUCUGGUUAGAAGCGCCCUGCUUUGUGCUCCAGUGGCCUCCUGUACUUCCUCAAUCAUAUACACUCACACCUUAGUGCUGCUGCUUGACGGACUUCUGUGCUGGAGGAAGUGGUGGCUGGCCUCUCUGAUUUUCCUGGGAGUGUUGCCUUGGCUACGAGAAGCUGAGAGCUCAAGAUGAGGAACUGAUCUUGAACAAGUUAAAUGGCAUGUGCAAGAUCUUAUAAGGACAUGGCUUAAUGAGUGGUGCAUAGGCCCGUGCCCAGGAUCUGAACCUGCGAACCCCAGACCAUCAAAGCAGAGUGCACAAGAUUAACCACUACAUCAUGGGCCAACCCCUAUUUUGUGAUCUUGAUUUGCAUUUCCCUAAUGGUUAAGGGUGUUAAGCAUCUUUUCAUGUGCUUGUUGAUGGUUUCUAUAUCUUUUUUUCGGAGAAAUGUCUAUUCAGAUCCUUUGCCUAUUUUUUAUUUGAGUUAUUUGUCUUUUUAUUACUAAUUUGUAAUAGUUGCUUCUUUGUUCUAUAUAUAAGUUCCACAUCAUAUACACAAUUUGAAAAACUUUUCUUUGCAUUCUGUGGGUUGUCAUUUCACUUUCUUGAUGGUGUCUUUGAAGCAAAAAACUUUUUA